rfam:Schistosoma mansoni strain Puerto Rico chromosome 3, complete genome
AUCCAGCUGACGAGUCCCAAAUAGGACGGAACGCACGUGCUGGAU